AGAGUUUGAUCAUGGCUCAGGAUGAACGCUAGCGACAGGCUUAACACAUGCAAGUUGAGGGCAGCAUAGAAGUAGCAAUACUUGGUGGCGACCGGCGCACGGGUGAGUAACGCGUAUGCAACCUACCUAUCAGAGGGGAAUAACCCGGCGAAAGUCGGACUAAUACCGCAUAAAACAGGGGCACCGCAUGGUGAUAUUUGUUAAAGAAAUUCGCUGAUAGAUGGGCGUGCGUUCCAUUAGGUAGUUGGUGAGGUAACGGCUCACCAAGCCGACGAUGGAUAGGGGAACUGAGAGGUUGGUCCCCCACACUGGUACUGAGACACGGACCAGACUCCUACGGGAGGCAGCAGUGAGGAAUAUUGGUCAAUGGGCGGGAGCCUGAACCAGCCAAGUCGCGUGAAGGAAGAAGGAUCUAUGGUUCGUAAACUUCUUUUGCAGGGGAAUAAAGUGCAGGACGUGUCCUGUUUUGUAUGUACCCUGAGAAUAAGGAUCGGCUAACUCCGUGCCAGCCGCGGC
rnacentral:rRNA from 1 species